GUCAUUCAGUCCGCGGUUCCCUGGUGACCCGACAGUAGCACACCGCCGACACACAGACGCACAAACACCCCGCCGCCAAGAUGAUGAUCAAGGGCCUUCUUCUGCUGCUGCUGGUCGCCCUCUCCCACGCGUUCUUCUUCAAGUUCGGUGGCAAAAAGCACCACUACGGAUACGGAUACGGACAUGGCCACGGAUACGGAUACGGCCAUGGAUACGGACAUGGAUACGGCCAUGGUUACGGACACGGAUACGGACACCGUUACUACUAUCACCGGCCUAGCUACGGAUACAGAUACCACUCGUACGGAUACCACUGAAGCUCCGCGAGUCCUGAGGCACCUCGGUAACUGUGGGUCAACUCGUUACCACAUUACCGGUGACAAGCAGUGCAGUGACACGGUCAGUGCGGUAAUCAGUGACACUUCGGUGGGACGGUGUGGCAUCGACGCCAUUUGGCCGUAGUGAUUUUCGGAACACGCAUUUGAUCGAUGAGUGUGACACUAUGUGCAUGGAUGAGAUAAUAAUGUUAUCUCAUCCAUGCUAUGUGUUUUGUAUCACUCACUGUAUGGGUAUCGAUUAUCGGAAGAUGACAAUGGAAGUACUUUGCUUCGGCUAUUUGCAUCUCGACGACGGUCAAUUUAAGAACCGCAGAAUUAGUCCGAUGUGAUGAAGGCAUUACUGGCUGAUCGCUGGUAACUGUUAAGUGCAUAGUGUCAGUAUUUAUUUGUGGAGACGUGUAAACAGCUAUGAUGUAAUAAAAAUGGAAUAAAA